AACGAACGCUGGCGGCAUGCCUAACACAUGCAAGUCGAACGAGACCUUCGGGUCUAGUGGCGCACGGGUGCGUAACGCGUGGGAACCUGCCCUUAGGUUCGGAAUAACUCCCCGAAAGGGGUGCUAAUACCGGAUAAUGUCUUCGGACCAAAGAUUUAUCGCCUUUGGAUGGGCCCGCGUUGGAUUAGCUAGUUGGUAGGGUAAAAGCCUACCAAGGCGACGAUCCAUAGCUGGUCUGAGAGGAUGAUCAGCCACACUGGGACUGAGACACGGCCCAGACUCCUACGGGAGGCAGCAGUGGGGAAUAUUGGACAAUGGGCGAAAGCCUGAUCCAGCAAUGCCGCGUGAGUGAUGAAGGCCGUAGGGUUGUAAAGCUCUUUUACCCGGGAUGAUAAUGACAGUACCGGGAGAAUAAGCUCCGGCUAACUCCGUG
rnacentral:rRNA from 1 species